rnacentral:rRNA from 1 species
AAAUUGAAGAGUUUGAUCAUGGCUCAGAUUGAACGCUGGCGGCAGGCCUAACACAUGCAAGUCGAACGGUAACAGAAAGCAGCUUGCUGCUUUGCUGACGAGUGGCGGACGGGUGAGUAAUGUCUGGGAAACUGCCUGAUGGAGGGGGAUAACUACUGGAAACGGUAGCUAAUACCGCAUAAUGUCGCAAGACCAAAGAGGGGGACCUUCGGGCCUCUUGCCAUCGGAUGUGCCCAGAUGGGAUUAGCUAGUAGGUGGGGUAAAGGCUCACCUAGGCGACGAUCCCUAGCUGGUCUGAGAGGAUGACCAGCCACACUGGAACUGAGACACGGUCCAGACUCCUACGGGAGGCAGCAGUGGGGAAUAUUGCACAAUGGGC